AUAGAGUCCUUGUUCUUUUACACGCUUUCACAGAUCCUCCUAGAAUUUCAACACUUGGCGUCGUUUUUGUGAACCUCCACUCUCAUCACAAUGAUUGGUGAUUUUUUUUCACCUAUGAAAACCGGAAAGUUUUGGGAGCAUGAACCUGCAAACACUGGCACUGGAGAAUGCAUAUAUCCUUAUAGCUUUCUGAAUCACAAGCCGUGUCACGCUCAGAUCCUUUGCUCUGAUCAUAGUUACCUGUGCGUCCAAACUGGAUUCCCAUUACACAUGACUAAUCUGCUGGGAGCAGAUCUGUUCMAG
rnacentral:lncRNA from 1 species